ensembl:misc_RNA 7SK 7SK RNA
GGAUGUGAGGGCGAUCUGGCUGUGAUGUCUGUCACCCCACUGAUCGCCAGGACUGAUUUGUCUGAUCGGCUGGCCAUGCGGGUGUCUCCUUCCUUCCUCACUGCUCCAGGAGCUUCACUCCUCAAGCUUCCGCUCUGUAAGUCAGUCCGUGGAAGAGAAUGAGCUUCCCCCAAUAGAGGAGGACCCGCCUUCAGCUGAGGCUAUAGGAGUAGCUGCGCUCUCCUGCUACAACCUCCAAACAAGUUCCCAAGAAAAUUCAGAGAUAAGUCAGACUGAAAGAAAGAUAUAUCCGUGACUCACACAUCUGAUAAAGAU